CAGCGGGAGGAUCAGCGCCAGCCACGCCAGGCCCAGGAGGAUCCAGAUGGCCGCCAGGCUCCGGUACACUGAGAUUCCCCGAAGCCGAUGGUGCUGAGCGUGAUGAACGCAAAGUAGAAGCCCUCACGGAAGCUCCAGCCCUCCACGUGGCUGAAGACCAAGGGUGGGAAGAUGAGGAUGGCCAGUGUCCCCACGACCAGGAACAGAGCCAGGCCCAGGACCUGCAGGAGCUGUGUCCACCCCAACACCUUGCAUGCCAAACUCUGUCUCAGCAUCUGCUUCUCGACCUGUGGUCCCCAACUCCUGGGCUGCUGUUAGGAUAGGGGCCUCGAAUCACCACCUGAGCUCCACACUCCUCCACCCCGGUCCCCCAGUCUGUGGGAAAAUUGUCUUCCAUGAAACCCAUGCCUGGUGCCAAAAAGGUUGGGGCCCGCUGUUCUAGAGGACUCAACGUGCAACUGAUCUGCCACAGCAGGGCUGCAAGGGAGGGAGGAGCCGUACCUGGGAGCGCCUGGGCUGGUCC